rnacentral:rRNA from 1 species
GAUGAGCGCUGGCGGCGUGCCUAAUACAUGCAAGUCGAGCGAACGGACGAGAAGCUUGCUUCUCUGAUGUUAGCGGCGGACGGGUGAGUAACACGUGGAUAACCUACCUAUAAGACUGGGAUAACUUCGGGAAACCGGAGCUAAUACCGGAUGAUAUUUUGAACCGCAUGGUUCAAAAGUGAAAGACGGUCUUGCUGUCACUUAUAGAUGGAUCCGCGCUGCAUUAGCUAGUUGGUAAGGUAACGGCUUACCAAGGCAACGAUGCAUAGCCGACCUGAGAGGGUGAUCGGCCACACUGGAACUGAGACACGGUCCAGACUCCUACGGGAGGCAGCAGUAGGGAAUCUUCCGCAAUGGGCGAAAGCCUGACGGAGCAACGCCGCGUGAGUGAUGAAGGUCUUCGUAUCGUAAAACUCUGUUAUUAGGGAAGAACAUAUGUGUAAGUAACUGUGCACAUCUUGACGGUACCUAAUCAGAAAGCCACGGCUAACUACGUG